rnacentral:lncRNA from 1 species
CAUGAGAUGGUCCAUGAACAUGAGAUGGUGCUCGGCAAUGAGAUAGUCCCUGGAAAUGGAAUGGUUUCAGACAGUGAGAUGUUUCCAGGAAAUGAGAUGGUUCUUGCAGAGCCACAACCCAACCAUGUAGAAAUACAACCUGGUAAGCAUAGGAAAAAGAAAUCAAUAGUUUGGGAGCACUUCACUAUUGAAACUGUUGCUGUUGGGACUAGAAGGGCACAAUACAACCUGGUAAGCGUAGGAAAAAGAAAUCAAUAGUUUGGGAGCACUUCACUAUUGAAACUGUUGCUGUUGGGACUAGAAGGGCACAAUGUAACCAGUGCAAGCAAUCGUUUGCAUAUAGUACAGGGUCGAAAGUAGCAGGCACU